rnacentral:sRNA from 1 species
GUUUGUUAUUAUGUUUUGGAAUGAAAUUUGGUCAGAUAAUAUGAUUACGGUGAGUUCUGUAACAGCUACUGGUAAUAUUUUUGUAAAUCACGUGAAAGCAUUGGAGCAACUGUCUUGGAAAAUGCUCUUUAAACUUAAAACCCCAGUAUGUUUUGGUAGUAGUGGAUAUUACACAUAUAUGCUGCUCUUUUCAGUGUUCCUUUUAUUGUGCUAAAACAUUUUUAAAACAUUUGAUUUAUUAAUAGGAUUUAUUUUUCUUAAUAGGAUUGUUAAUAGGAUUUAUUUUUCUAGGACAUUGUCUUUAAACACUUGGAUGAUUUUAUAUGUCUUUUAAUUCUUUUAUAAUUUGUAGAUUUAAAAAACUUCGUGGGCAGAAAGCUAAGACAUAGGAAAGGAUAUAGAUUUAUUUGGCAUUUCAAAGGAUUUUGUUUUAUUAUCCCCUCUUAUUUGGGUAUAAACUCAAAUCUGUUUUAUCCUUUGUCUGUUUGGAUUGAUGCGUAUUGAGAUUUUGUCUAAUUGAACUGAUUUUGAUAAUACGUAAAGUUUAAUUUCCCUGUUAAAAUAGGACUCCCAAAUUUCUGAAUGUCUGUUACAAGUAUUAGGUUACCUCAGUUUUCUGGCAUCUGAAAGCUACUGAUACAUACAUUAGUAGCAAUAUUAAAUAAGGUAAAAUACUCCAGUGACAUCCUAGUUACAUGCUUGGGGUGGGUUUUUGGUUUCGUUUUAAAGUAUUUAUGAGGGAUACUUUCAUGCAUUUUCCAUGAAACUAAUUUUUCUCUCUCUUUUUUUAGCUUCAGCUUUAGCUGCAGCUGCCUCUGUUCAGCCACUUGCAACACAGUGUUUCCAACUCUCUAACAUGUUUAACCCUCAAACAGAAGAAGAAGUUGGAUGGGAUACCGAGAUUAAGGAUGAUGUGAUUGAAGAAUGUAAUAAACAUGGAGGAGUUAUUCAUAUUUAUGUUGACAAAAAUUCAGCUCAGGUAUUUUCAUCUUUUUUAUAAAUGAUGUUAGGUUAUUCAUCUCUACCUUAAUCUUCACACAUACGUGGUGCAUGUUAUUAUGGUCACUGUCUUCCAUUAUAGUUUUUUUUGUGUGUGCCUGAAAGUAGCUUUAAUAUAGUGGCUAAAUAAACCCUCCAAAAUAAAAGAAAAUCAGUAACAAUUUGAUCAGGGUAUGAGAGUAUUUCUAGUAAUGCUCAAAGCUUGCCAUGAAAUCUUGGCAUCUUGAUUCAUUCUUAGGCUGCAUACAAAUCAUAAAGAUAAAACGGCAAAUUUGGGAGUAGAAGUCAUUUUUAAAUAAAAUUCUACAUAUACCUAUUAGUCAGUGGAACAACUAUGAUAACCAUUUUGUAGUUAUAGAGCGCUAAGUUUCUACAGGCAACUUGAAUAAACAUAACCUGGGUCCAUUUUGCAUACAGCAACAUCUUUACCUUUUUUUCAUUUUUUCUGUAGGGCAAUGUGUAUGUGAAGUGCCCAUCAAUUGCUGCAGCUAUUGCUGCUGUCAAUGCAUUGCAUGGCAGGUGGUUUGCUGGUAAAAUGAUAACAGCAGCAUAUGUACCUCUUCCAACUUACCACAACCUGUUUCCUGAUUCUAUGACAGCAACACAACUACUGGUUCCAAGUAGACGAUGAAGGAAGAUACAGUCCCUUAUGUAUAUAGCUUUUUUCUUUCUUGAGAAUUCAUCUUGAGUUAUCUUUUAUUUAGAUAAAAAUAAAGAGGCAAGGAUCUACUGUC